UACGAAGGGGGCUAGCGUUGCUCGGAAUCACUGGGCGUAAAGGGUGCGUAGGCGGGUCUUUAAGUCCGGGGUGAAAUCCUGGAGCUCAACUCCAGAACUGCCUUUGAUACUGAAGAUCUUGAGUUCGAGAGAGGUGAGUGGAACUGCGAGUGUAGAGGUGAAAUUCGUAGAUAUUCGCAAGAACACCAGUGGCGAAGGCGAGUCCCUGGACGACUCCUGACACUGAGGCACGAAAGCUAGGGGAGCAAACAGG
rnacentral:rRNA from 1 species